GUGCUUCAAAUGCUCGUUGAUGGUCUAAGAAGAGAGCAAUAAAUACGAUAAGAAUAAAAUUCUUUUUUCUAUUUACGAUAAAAAUAUCAACAUCGAGAGGAUAUCUAUUCAGCAUAAAACAACGUGCUGUGGAUGCUAUCGAGCAAGACGAAAUGAGCGAGGUCGAGCGGAGAAGAGGAAA